CUGAAUAGUUUUCCUCUCCCUUCCUCCUUCCCCAUCGGCAAGCCCAAACACCUGCCCAGCGGCUGGUCCCGGAGUCUAAGGAGGUCACGUAGCAUCCCACCGGCCCCAACCUAACCUCUCCAGCUAUAUCUUCUUGACGUUCAAUGCCAGGGGUCGGCGCCCAGGAAGACCCCGCUCCACAGACUUGAUGAGCCUUCUACUCGAACUAAAAACGGCGGUCGCGGGAUGGGAGAGCGGAGCAGGGAUUGGCCAGUUAGAGGGAGAGUAUCAUCUCAUUUGAUCCAUUUUAUGAGUGCUGAAGCUUGAAGCUGAGAAUUGAACUGAAGUUGCUCCACUGACCUGGAUGCUGGAAUGGGCAACUGACUAUCCCAUAGACAUCCCAAACUCAACAUAUCAGAAACUAAGCUUAUUUUUCCCCUCAUCCCAAACUUUCUCACAUUUUCAAUAUCUCUCUGAGGGCAUCAGCAUCCUUCUAAUCAUCUAGAUUCAAAAUCUAGAUCUUAGCCUUGACUCCUCAUCAACUGUUACCUCAACAUAUUCAAUCAGUUCCCAAGCCUUGUUGAUUUUACAUGAAUGAAUAAAACAAAAUUAUUAAGCCCUUACUAUACACAAAGUGCUGAGGAGGCAAAUGAUUAAAAAAAAAAAAAAAAAAAAAAAAAAAAAAAAA